rnacentral:sRNA from 1 species
GAGGUGGGCUGUCAGCGCCCUGUGGUC